AUUGAACGCUGGCGGCAUGCCUUACACAUGCAAGUCGAACGGCAGCAUGGAGAGCUUGCUCUCUGAUGGCGAGUGGCGAACGGGUGAGUAAUGCAUCGGAACGUACCGUGUAAUGGGGGAUAACGUAGCGAAAGUUACGCUAAUACCGCAUACGACCUGAGGGUGAAAGCCGGGGAUCGCAAGACCUUGCGUUAUACGAGCGGCCGAUGUCAGAUUAGCUAGUUGGUGAGGUAAAGGCUCACCAAGGCGACGAUCUGUAGCGGGUCUGAGAGGAUAAUCCGCCAAACUAGGACUGAGACACGGCCCAGACUCCUACGGGAGGCAGCAGUGGGGAAUUUUGGACAAUGGGGGCAACCCUGAUCCAGCCAUGCCGCGUGAGUGAAGAAGGCCUUCGGGUUGUAAAGCUCUUUCGGCCGGGAAGAAAUCGCACAGGCUAAUACUCUGUGUGGAUGACGGUACCGGCAUAAGAAGCACCGGCUAACUACGUGCCAGCCGCCGCGGUAA
rnacentral:rRNA from 1 species